UGCCAGUCGCCGCGGUAAUACGAAGGGGGCUAGCGUUGCUCGGAAUCACUGGGCGUAAAGCGCACGUAGGCGGCUUUUUAAGUCAGGGGUGAAAUCCUGGAGCUCAACUCCAGAACUGCCCUUGAUACUGAAGAGCUCGAGUCCGGAAGAGGUGAGUGGAACUGCGAGUGUAGAGGUGAAAUUCGUAGAUAUUCGCAAGAACACCAGUGGCGAAGGCGGCUCACUGGUCCGGUACUGACGCUGAGGUGCGAAAGCGUGGGGAGCAAACAGGAUUAGAUA
rnacentral:rRNA from 1 species